rnacentral:rRNA from 1 species
AUGGGGGGAACCCUGAUGCAGCGACGCCGCGUGCGGGAUGGAGGCCUUCGGGUCGUGAACCGCUUUUACAGGGGAGCAAGCUUUCGGGUGAGUUAACUUUGUGAAUAAGCACCGGCUAACUACGUGCCAGCAGCCGCGGUAAUACGUAGGGUGCAAGCGUUGUCCGGAUUUAUUGGGCGUAAAGGGCUCGUAGGCGGUUCGUCGCGUCUGGUGUGAAAGCCCGCUGCUUAACGGUGGGUUUGCGUUGGAUACGGGCGGGCUUGAGUGCAGUAGGGGAGACUGGAAUUCUCGGUGUAACGGUGGAAUGUGUAGAUAUCGGGAAGAACACCUAUGGCGAAGGCAGGUCUCUGGGCUGUUACUGACGCUGAGGAGCGAAAGCGUGGGGAGCGAACAGGAUUAGAUACCCUGGUAGUCCACGCUGUAAACGGUGGACGCUGGAUGUGGGGCCCAUUUCCACGGGUUCCGUGUCGGAGCUAACGCGUUAAGCGUCCCGCCUGGGGAGUACGGCCGCAAGGCUAAAACUCAUAGAAAUUGACGGGGGCCCGCACAAGCGGCGGAGCAUGCGGAUUAAUUCGAUGCAACGCGAAGAACCUUACCAGGGCUUGACAUGUUGACGAUCGCCUCAGAGAUGGGGCUUCCCUUCGGGGCGUCUGCACAGGUGGUGCAUGGUCGUCGUCAGCUCGUGUCGUGAGAUGU